rnacentral:rRNA from 1 species
CAGUGGGAGCCUCUUUUAUGGGGUGACUGCGUACCUUUUGUAUAAUGGGUCAGCGACUUAUAUUCUGUAGCAAGGUUAACCGAAUAGGGGAGCCGAAGGGAAACCGAGUCUUAACUGGGCGUUAAGUUGCAGGGUAUAGACCCGAAACCCGGUGAUCUAGCCAUGGGCAGGUUGAAGGUUGGGUAACACUAACUGGAGGACCGAACCGACUAAUGUUGAAAAAUUAGCGGAUGACUUGUGGCUGGGGGUGAAAGGCCAAUCAAACCGGGAGAUAGCUGGUUCUCCCCGAAAGCUAUUUAGGUAGCGCCUCGUGAACUCAUCUCCGGGGGUAGAGCACUGUUUCGGCAAGGGGGUCAUCCCGACUUACCAACCCGAUGCAAACUGCGAAUACCGGAGAAUGUUAUCACGGGAGACACACGGCGGGUGCUAACGUCCGUCGUGAAGAGGGAAACAACCCAGACCGCCAGCUAAGGUCCCAAAGUCAUGGUUAAGUGGGAAACGAUGUGGGAAGGCCCAGACAGCCAGGAUGUUGGCUUAGAAGCAGCCAUCAUUUAAAGAAAGCGUAAUAGCUCACUGGUCGAGUCGGCCUGCGCGGAAGAUGUAACGGGGCUAAACCAUGCACCGAAGCUGCGGCAGCGACACUGUGUGUUGUUGGGUAGGGGAGCGUUCUGUAAGCCUGUGAAGGUGUACUGUGAGGUAUGCUGGAGGUAUCAGAAGUGCGAAUGCUGACAUAAGUAACGAUAAAGCGGGUGAAAAGCCCGCUCGCCGGAAGACCAAGGGUUCCUGUCCAACGUUAAUCGGGGCAGGGUGAGUCGACCCCUAAGGCGAGGCCGAAAGGCGUAGUCGAUGGGAAACAGGUUAAUAUUCCUGUACUUGGUGUUACUGCGAAGGGGGGACGGAGAAGGCUAUGUUGGCCGGGCGACGGUUGUCCCGGUUUAAGCGUGUAGGCUGGUUUUCCAGGCAAAUCCGGAAAAUCAAGGCUGAGGCGUGAUGACGAGGCACUACGGUGCUGAAGCAACAAAUGCCCUGCUUCCAGGAAAAGCCUCUAAGCAUCAGGUAACAUCAAAUCGUACCCCAAACCGACACAGGUGGUCAGGUAGAGAAUACCAAGGCGCUUGAGAGAACUCGGGUGAAGGAACUAGGCAAAAUGGUGCCGUAACUUCGGGAGAAGGCACGCUGAUAUGUAGGUGAAGCGACUUGCUC